UAGAGUUUGAUCAUGGCUCAGAUUGAACGCUGGCGGCAGGCCUAACACAUGCAAGUCGAGCGGUAACAGAUUGAUAGCUUGCUAUCAAUGCUGACGAGCGGCGGACGGGUGAGUAAUGCCUGGGAAUGUACCCUGAUGUGGGGGAUAACUAUUGGAAACGAUAGCUAAUACCGCAUAAUCUCUUCGGAGCAAAGAGGGGGACCUUCGGGCCUCUCGCGUCAGGAUUAGCCCAGGUGGGAUUAGCUAGUUGGUGGGGUAAUGGCUCACCAAGGUAACGAUCCUUAGCUGGUCUGAGAGGAUGAUCAGCCACACUGGAACUGAGACACGGUCCAGACUCCUACGGGAGGCAGCAGUGGGGAAUAUUGCACAAUGGGGGAAACCCUGAUGCAGCCAUGCCGCGUGUAUGAAGAAGGCCUUCGGGUUGUAAAGUACUUUCAGUUGAGGAAGGCGUUGGAGUUAAUAGCUUCAGCGUUUGACGUUAGCAACAGAAGAAGCACCGGCUAACUCCGUGCCAGCAGCCGCGGUAAUACGGAGGGUGCGAGCGUUAAUCGGAAUUACUGGGCGUAAAGCGCAUGCAGGCGGUCUGUUAAGCAAGAUGUGAAAGCCCGGGGCUUAACCUCGGAACAGCAUUUUGAACUGGCAGACUAGAGUCCUGUAGAGGGGGGUAGAAUUUCA
rnacentral:rRNA from 1 species